CUCAGUCAGUCGUCGACAGCGAGUGUUGAAAUGGCGCAGGAAGGAGUUCAUCUGGACCGUGAGUCUUUCUCUUGUUCCAUCUGUUUGGAUCUUCUGAAGGAUCCGGUGACUGUUUCCUGUGGACACAGCUUCUGCAUGAGCUGUAUUCACUCCUACUGGGAUACUGAGGAUGAGAGGAUGGUCUACAGCUGUCCUCAGUGCAGAGAGACCUUUUUCAUCAGGCCUGUCCUGAUGAAAAACACCAUGUUAGCAGGUUUAGUGGAGGAAGUGAAGAGGAGUGGACUCCAAGCUGCUCCUGAUGGUUCCUCUGAGGCUGGACCUGAAGAUGUGGCCUGUGAUUCCUGCAGUGGGAGAAAACGGAAAGCUGUCAAGUCCUGUCUGCGAUGUCUGGUUUCUUACUGUCAGAUUCACCUCCAGCCUCAUUUUGAAUCACCUCCAUUUAAGAAACACAAGCUGGUGGAGCCCUCCAAGAAGCUCCAGGAGAACAUCUGCUCUGAUCAUGAUGAGGUGAUGAAGAUCUUCUGCCGCACUGACCGGAAGUCUAUCUGUUCUAUCUGCCGUUUGGACCAACACAAAGACCACGACACAGUCUUAGCUGCAGCAGAAAGGACUGAGAGGCAGAAAGAUCUGGAGGAGAGUCGAGAAAACAUCCAGCAGAGAAUCAAGGACAGAGAAGAAGAUGUGAAGCUUCUCCAACAGGAGGUGGAGACUAUCAACGGCUCUGCUGAUAAAGCUGUGGAGCACAGCCAGAAGAUCUUCACCCAGCUUAUCCGUCUCAUAGUGAAACGCCACUCUGACAUGGCGAAGCAGGUCAGAUCCCAGCAGGAACGUGAAGUGAGUCGAGUCAAAGAACUUCAGGAGAAGAUGGAACAGGAGAUCACUGAGCUGAAGAGGAAAGAUGCUGAUCUGCAGACACUCUCACUCACAGAGGACCACAACCAGUUUCUGCACAGCUACCCCUCACUGUCAGAACCGGGUCAACCUGCAGACUCAUCCAGGAUCAACAUCCGUCCUCAGAGAUACUUUGAGGAGGUGACAGCAGCUGUGUCAGAGGUUAGUGAUAAACUCCAGGAUCUUCUGACAAAGAUGUGGACAAACGUCUCACAGGCAGUGACUGAAGUGGAUGUUUUACUGUUAGAACCAGAACCCAAGACCAGAGCUGAUUUCCUAAGAUAUUCACGAAGAAUCACACUGGAUCCAAACACAGCAAACAGAUAUCUGAUAUUAUCUAAAGGAAACAGAAAAGCAACAUUAACAAGACAACGACAGUCUUAUCCUGAUCAUCCAGACAGAUUCACUUAUUAUGAUCAGGUCCUGAGUAGAGAGAGUCUGACUGGACGUUGUUACUGGGAGGUGGACUGGAGAGGGAACAGGGUAAGUGUAGCAGUCGCAUACAAGACGAUCAGCAGAGACGGGGACUCAGAUGAUUGUUUAUUUGGAGGAAAUGACAAAUCUUGGACGUUAGACUGCUCUAAAGACAUUUAUCAAUUUGUUCACAACGAAGUCCUCACUGAUGUCUCAGGUCCUCUGUCCUCCAGAGUAGGAGUGUACCUGGAUCACAGAGCAGGUAUUCUGUCCUUCUACAGCGUCUCUGAAACCAUGACUCUCCUCCACAGAGUCCAGACCACAUUCACUGAGCCGCUAUAUGCUGGACUGUUUUUCCUGUCUUUUAAGCACCGGUCUGUUGGAGCCUCUGCUAAGUUUAUUGAACCCAAAUAAAGAGAAUUUUGAGUCCAUCAGACCAAAAACAUGUAAUGAGAUCAUUGAACACUUGAAAUGUUCUGGUUUGUAAAUGUUUGUGGAUCAGUCUCACCAGAAACUUUCGGUUUAGUUCUUCAUUUCAGCUUUUUCAUUCUUUUGUAGCAAUCAAGACAACCCUGGGUGUGAAACUCACACAUUCCUCACAGGAAAGUUUCCUUAUCUGGUCCCUCGGUCGUAAAACCCUGCUCAACCAUGUUCUGAUAAAAAACUGCAUUCCUUUGAUGAAAGAAUACAAAUGACUGAUCAUGACAUCUUAUGUAUUCAGCAAUGUACUAAUCUGUCCAAUCAUGAAAUUUGUGUUAAAAUGAGAUGUUUCUCAUUGUUCUAUGUGCUCCAGAAGCUGAGUUAUCACUCUGACAGAAUAAUUCCUUUGUUCUUUAGUUUCUUUAGACCAACAGCUUUUCAGACUGUUUCCUCAACUUUUAAGAGUUACAUUUAUUGACUAUGGAUCAUAAGUUUCCUCUAAGUAACAGAAAUAGUUUAGAAAUGUUUGGUUUAUAUUUUAGUUGUUUAUUUAGUAUUUUUAACCAUUAGGUGGUUAUAAUGUCAUUGAAUAAUCUGAAUGUGAGUAUUUAGAAUCCAUUAGUAAUCACGAUGAAGUUCAUUCACAUGUAUUUACUCUUUUGUUGUUCACAGUUUCCAUGUGUUACUCUCUGUUUCAUUUCAGAGUAAUUUAGCAUGUUUAAUGUGAUACUUGAAACAUAAUGAGAAUGUUUGAUGUGAUCCUACAUUUCUUUAUAUGUGUUUAGUAUCAAAUUAUUUAUCAUGAAACCAAGCAUUCAAUGAUAUUAAUCAUAGUGAGUGAGUAUCAGAUCUGACUCUUUUACCAGCCAAAAGUAUAUGUUAGAUCAAAUAAUCAGAGAUCUGAGGUCUCCUCUGCUUGGAGACCCCACGACCCCUCCUCUUUCUCUUCACACACACACGCCAGAGACACUCCCAGUGUGAGAAGAUAAAACCAGAAAGGGGGGGGGUGCUCACGUUGCUUGUUCCCUUUGUACUCUUGUUGCCUCUCUUCUAUUUUUGCUUUUCUACUCUUAAGUUUUCGUUUAGCUUUUACUACUUAGUCUUACUUUUUCUUAGUCUUCUAAGUUUUGCGUUGAUUCACGUUGAUUUUCUUUAACAUCGUCUUCGUUCAAGUUUUGAAACUUCAACUUUUUGUGCGCAUAGCAAUUCAAGAUUAAGCCUUUGAUUGAUUUUUCUUUAAUUUCGCGAAGCCAUUUUUGAAAGUUUUCUCUGGUCAUCGAGCCUCGUUUUUCUGAGUUAUCUGCGAGAUUUCAAAGUCACCUCUGAACACAACCCAGCAGGCCCGGGUCAUCCUCUGCGCCAGAGUUUUUGAGUGAGACCAAAGAAGCAUCCAAACGAGCAUCCACAGGAUCCACAGGCGCCGGCUUUACUUCAGGCCCGAGUGCUACGACUCCUGGCCCAUCCUUCGGCUGACUUCGGCCGGUAGCCCGGACCUUCGGAACCUGCUCCAUCUUCUCCAAGGACCAGUCUUACUUAAGUAUGCAGACCUCCAGAGCUCCAAAGAGGGCUGAUGCUGUCUCAUGCGGUCAUAACUCAGAUAUCCACUUAUUCUGGUAAUCUUGGAUUCCUCCAAAUCCACAUCCAAAUUUACCUUGACACCAAAGAUAGUGUAGGUUAAUAUGUUCGAGCAUAUUCACUCACUAUCAUUAACUUUAGUGCUCCUAGCCUGACUUAGAAUCUUUAUUUGUUCACCUAUUAUUUUUUAUCCUCAUUAUCUUAUCAUUUAUUGCAUGUGUGUUGUACCAUCAUUUAUCCUGUAUUAAACAUCAUUAUUUCUAAGUUCUGGUCUUUUAGUGUUCUUCCAGAAGUGGAGUCCCUGAAAUGAGAAUCUCAGCUCAAGGUAUGAGAUUGAUUAAUUUAAGAUUUGACUUGAUGUUUGAUUUCUGAAUUAAACUUUAGUUUUCUUUAUUUUUCCACCAUUAAGGGUGGGUGGUGCCUCUUUCAACGAGUGCAUAAAUGUCAUAACUUGAGAUUAUUAAUCCUCAGACAUUUAUUAUAAAUUCAAAUCGCUACACUUUUCUAAAGAUGCUGAUUUGGUCGCAGCUUUAAGGACAGUGAUUGUGGAUAACUGAUUGUAUUUCUCAUUUUGAAAAAUCUUCAUGAAUUUUGAUAUCAACAACAUCAAGAUGAUCGUUUGUUCAAAUCACCUUCAGUUGGUGCAGAUGUUGAAGGUCUGAGACUUUAGAAAAAACUGACGUCAAAAUAUUGAAAGAAAGAUAAAAAAGGACGACCUUAUUUCCUGUCCCAAAUCCAAGCGUCUAAAGUCUUUCCAGUCGUCCCCAAAAACUCUUCAGAUGAUCUGUUUCUUUCUCUGUUUGCUGAAUAUUUGUGUUCAUGUGAUCGAUGGAUAUUUCUGUCUGCUUCUGUUGGAUCAGUGUGUUUGUAAAGACAUCUAGAAUGAGACUUUUAGCAGAUCAACAUGUUAUGAGCUUUCUAAUCACUUUUAUAAUAAUCACAUAUAUUAGUCCGACUGUUUUUCUGUUUCUGACUCAGCUCAGAUUGUGGGUGAAAACAAUAAAAAUCAUCAAGUUGAGUCACUGAAAGCACCUAACCUGUUUUUCUUUAUUUGGUCUGUUUCUGCUGGAUGUCAUGUUACAGGUCUUUCUGGGUCAUGGAUUCAUGUGGUCUGCAGGAUUUCCAUGAUGUGGUCACUCACAGGUGUUACAGGUCCUAGAUGUGGGUCCUGCAGCUGGAUCAGGUUUUCUGUAAGUAAGAGUAAUAAUCUUGAAAGAGAUUUAAGGUGUAUAUAUCAAGACAAGCAUUAUUAAAUCAUUAUUUGUUGCUCUGAGUAGUUUAAGAGUUUUGUAGCUCUGCAUUUUAUUUUGAAAGGUCCGCGGACUUCCGGUGUUACUUGUCACGACAGUUGUGUCCGAGUUUGGCAGAAGCGAACAGUCCAUUGGUAAGAAAUAACCUGCUAACAAUGUGUAGCCUCUGAAUAUAUAACGCUUUGGUGCCUAUUUCAUUGUCCUUGGAGAGAAAUAAGAGAAUGUUGAAUUAGAGAGUGUAAUUAAGUGUCCGUGGUUAGCAUUUGAUUAGCGCCGCUAGCUUCCGUUAGCAUUUUCUCUAGCUCCCUAUUAGCAUGCAAGGCUAACUCCAUUAGCAUUACAAGCUAGCGCUUAGCUGGCUGUUAUUAGCAUUUAGCUUGUAAUGUAAGCUGCUACUGUUGGUACUGUGAUACUGUGUUUAACCAGUUAGGUUCACUGUGUUUAUUGCAGUUAUACAUAAAAUGAGACCAUGAGGACCAGAAUAAAAACAUAAAAUAGGUAAGAAUAAGAAAUGUAUUAAAAAGGGGGGUUAAAAGCAGGAUACAGGGUAGUAAAUAUAAAAAGACAAUCUUAAUAAUGAUAAUAAAAUAACAAAAUAAUAUGAUCAUAAUAGUAAUGAUAAAAUAGAAUAAUAAAAAUGAGCAAGAAAAAAAACUAUCAAUAUAAGGCCUGAUAGGUUAAAUAAGAAAAGAUUAUAAGUAUAACAAAGGCUGAAAAGACAGUUAGCAAAAAUAAGAUUGCGGUAAAAGAGAAAAGACCUGUGUCACCUGUGUGGUCAAAAAAUAAAAGAAGUCCAAGAACAAAACAUUAGUUGUACCUUGAGUGUGCUUCCUGUCAAGCCUUUUCGGAGGGCUGAGUAUUUAAAAUCCGAUCAGUAUAUCGAUGUGUGUGAGUGCUGAUUGAGUUGAAGUUAAACUGCACUUUAAGUUUCAUAUCUUCUUUAACAGAUCACAACAUGACAGCAUCUUAAAACAGACUGAAUACAAACACAUAUACUGAACGCUCCUCUCUUAAGGAUUAAACAGGACAAAGCACCACCUGGCAGACAUUCUUCUGAGGGAAAGUGAACAACAUGAGAAACUGCAAAAAUAAUUUUAGAGAAUUCAGAAACAUAACAUGACACCCAAGAACAUGCAACAAAAUACAAACCUGCCUCAUUAGACACACAUACACAGAAAUAUGACACUAGUUGGAAGUGUUUCAGUGAUCCAUGAGGUGAAUAAAUGUUGGUUCAGUUGAUCUUCAGGACCGCUGCAGCUUUAAUAACCUCUGCAUGUUGGAGUUUGAGAGUCUUCCUCUUGUUCCGUUUCUUCUUCUUCUUCUUUAUUUAUCUCAAACUUUAAGAACUACAACAACAAAAAACAACUAGAAACAAAAACACCAAACAAAAUAAUAAAUAUGUACACCAAACAACUGUACAUGUCAAAGAUAAAUUAACACAACAUAUGUAUUAAGGCUGCACGAUAUUGGAAAAAAAUAAUAUUGCGAUUUUUUCAACCCUGCGAUAUAUAUUGCGAUAUUAAAAAUACAGUAUUUUCACCAGAUGACCUGAAUAGCACUUAAUGUCAUGCUGCACUGCUGAAAUCUUGAGGACAGUUAAUCUGCUCUGAUCUUACCUCUUUUUGUGAAUGUUAGUAGAACGGCUUCUGUCUGUCUCAGAGAUAUUUUUAGCUUUUAUUGUGCUGGGACGUUAUUGUGGAAACAGAUGAACACAGAAGACGUGUUUUGGUCGACAUCAUCCUUUUUUAACCGAAAUAAUUUAAGAUAACUGACUUUCCUUUUCUUUUUGGCAACAAAUCUUCAUUUUCGGUGGUUUUCGCUUGUUCGUUGUUCAUUUUGCGAUCGUUGUUGUUGUUGUUAGCGGUGCUGUACCGAGAAACGCAUGUACUCCGAGAAUUGCAUGCACCUCGCAAAACGCGCACUGCUUAUAGUAGAGUGAUUCACGGAAAUGUACAAUUUAAAACCCAUACAGUUCUUAUUUGUUGGGCUUAAUAGUCAUGAGUAAAGUUCCGAAAGUAAUUCUCAGCGGACACGCGUCUCCCUCCAUGUGCAGAACAUGUGCAGGGGUGGGUUUUCUCCUCCCUGAUUUUGAUUGACAGCUGGCAGGGUAGUCUGAUUGGCAGCUGAGAAGUGAGUCUGACUGGCAACUGAGUUAAGGACGAAGGCGAUUGGUGGAUCGCUGCACAGCACAUGCAGAGUCACAUGGAGUGUAUCUCAGUCGGUUACUCUUGAAAUUAAAUGAGUUCAUUCACCUCCAAUAUCGCAGGCUCUGCGAUGUGACUAUCGCACACACGUACAUCGCGAUGACGAUAGUCAAACGAUAUAUCGUUCAGGCCUAAUAUGUAUGUCAAAAUGUACAGUUUGGGAAGGAACAGAAUGAAGCAAAGACUUAAUCUAGUCCUGCCUCUUCCUAGCAAAUUAGAAAUUAAAAAAAAAGAAAAAAUCUAUUUUAAUAAAUUACAAAGAUCUGUAUAAAUACCUACAUUUUAUACACCAAGUGUAUAAAGUUAAAUCAAUAGUCUAAUAAACAACAAACAACUUACCUUGGUGCAGAUAAAGGUAUUCUUCGUAACGUUCCUCAGGUAACGCUGGUUAUGUGGCCGGCCACAUAACUUAUACACAGCAUGCACUUUUCCAAGGCACGCUUCGGCUUCAGAAGAGGAAUAAAAAAUGCCCCAUUCAAACGCUCUGGGUACCUAGUGUCGCUGUUGCAGGUCCCCCAGCAGCAACGUUUCACCAUGGUGGUAAUAUAAUAUGAAUCUUCUUGAUAUUAUAUUGUUAAUCAACUUCUGAAAAAGCCCUAAAUAACAUGUGAUUUAACGAGUGAUGUGGCCAUGAUGUCCGACUCUUGUUUGCUACGCUGUGAUUGGACCAUCGCAGUCUGGGGGCGGAACGUACCGAAGAGUCUAUCGGACAGAUACAUUUAUGUUCACUCCUUAGAUUAUAGCCCCCCUCCCUGGUUUUGAACAUCUUUUGUAGAUUAGCAGGUAACUUACUUUGUGUUACUUUGUACAGCACUUGAUCCGUUUUAUAAUUGACUAUGUCAUUAAAUUUUAACAUUUCUGAUUUUAGGAACAGAGGGCUGGUGUGAUCUCUGUAUCCAGCAUGAUUUAUGGUCCGGAUGACCUUUUUUUGUGUUUAUCUUUUGUAGAUUGGUCUUGUAUGUGUUUCCCCAGAUUUCAACACUGGGGAAAGGCAGGAUCAUGGAGCAGUAGAGUGUGCGUUGUGAUUUUUGUGGUAAUAAAUUAAUUUGCUGAUAGUUCCGAUACUGGUGAUUUUUUUUGGUAUCAGAAGAAGAAAGAGAGGAAAGAAAAAGAAAGAGGGGAGGCAGCUGUUGACUGCUUUCUUUCCCAAAGGUGAAUCCAGUUUGUUUGUUCUGUAAAGUCCAGUUAAAGUCAAGUAGGACUCUAAACUUCACAUCGCCGCUGCUCUCCCUGAAUUAUACAAGAGCUGAAUUUCCCCUCCCUCGUCUCUCACACAGCUCACUCCACUCUGCACACUCACUUCCUUGCUCUCUUCACUUCCUCUUUCCCUCCCCUUCAGAUCUACAGUUGUAACUAACGUGUGCUGAGCUGAUAUCCUGCUGAAACACAUGUUGUUGAGAUCAGAGCUCAGACUAGUUUCACUUCUCAGGAAAUAAAACUCAGUCAGUUGUUGUCAACAGCGAGUGUUGAAAUGGCGCAGAAGGGAGUUCUUCUGGACCGUGAGUCUUUCUCUUGUUCCAUCUGUUUGGAUCUUCUGAAGGAUCCGGUGACUGUUAACUGUGGACACAGCUUCUGCAUGAGCUGUAUUCAAUCCUACUGGGAUACUGAGGAUGAGAAGAAGAUCUACAGCUGUCCUCAGUGCAGACGGACCUUCAGACCGAGGCCUGUCCUGAUGAAAAACACCAUGUUAGCAGGUUUAGUGGAGGAAGUGAAGAAGAGUGGACUCCAAGCUGCUCCUGAUGAUCCCUCUGAGGCUGGACCUGAAGAUGUGGCCUGUGAUUCCUGCAGUGGGAGAAAACUGAAGGCUGUCAAGUCCUGUCUUCAAUGUCUGGUUUCUUACUGCCAGAUUCACCUCCAGCCUCAUUUUGAAUCACCUUCAUAUAAGAAACACAAGCUGGUGGAGCCCUCCAAGAACCUCCAGGAGAACAUCUGCUCUCGUCAUGAUGAGGUGAUGAAGAUCUUCUGCCGCACUGAUAAGAAGUCUAUCUGUCAUCUCUGCUGUUUGGACCAACACAAAGGUCACAACACAGUCUCAGCUGCGGCAGAAAGGACUGAGAGGCAGAAAGAUCUGGAGGAGAGUCGAGAAAACAUCCAGCAGAGAAUCCAGGACAGAGAAGAAGAUGUGAAGCUGCUCCAACAGGAGGUGGAGGCUAUCAACGGCUCUGCUGAUAAAGCUGUGGAGCACAGCCAGGAGAUCUUCAGCCAGCUGAUCCGUCUGAUGGAGAAACGCCGCUCUGACGUGGAGCAGCAGGUCAGAUCCCAGCAGGAACGUGAAGUGAGUCGAGUCAAAGAACUUCAGGAGAAACUGGAGCAGGAGAUCACUGAGCUGAAGAGGAAAGAUGCUGAUCUGCAGAAGCUCUCACUCACAGAGGACCACAACCAGUUUCUGCACAGCUACCCCUCACUGUCAGAACCGGGUCAACCUGCAGA